rnacentral:tRNA from 1 species
GCGAUCAUGGUGGAAUUGGUAGACACGCUAUCUUGAGGGGGUAGUGCCGUUAGGUGUGCGAGUUCAAAUCUCGCUGAUCGCACCA